AUACCAGCACCCCGAGUUGUCGGGACGAUUAUUGGGCCUAAAGCAUCCGUAGCCUGUUCUGCAAGUCCUCCGUUAAAUCCACCUGCUCAACGGAUGGGCUGCGGAGGAUACCGCAGAGCUAGGAGGCGGGAGAGGCAAACGGUACUCAGUGGGUAGGGGUAAAAUCCAUUGAUCUACUGAAGACCACCAGUGGCGAAGGCGGUUUACCAGAACGCGCUCGACGGUGAGGGAUGAAAGCUGGGGGAGCAAACCGGAUUAGAUACCCGGGUAGUCCCAGCUGUAAACGAUGCAGACUCGGUGAUGGGUUGGCCUCGAGCCAACCCAGUGCCGCAGGGAAGCCGUUAAGUCUGCCGCCUGGGGAGUACGGUCGCAAGACUGAA
rnacentral:rRNA from 2 species